UCUCUCGGGAAGCAAUAUGCAAUACUUUGGAGGAGUACGCAUCUUUCUUAGUAAGCAUUAUACGCACUAUAUGAGAUACACGUGGUCAGGUACUCGGCUUCUUCUUCUUCUUCUAAUAAUAAUAAUAGUAGAUAUAAGGUAAGUUGCCUCUAUUUUUAUCGGAACUGCGAACGGUGGGAAACUUUGCGUUCCUUCGGUUCUCGGGUCCCUCGCUGGACUCGUAUCCCCAUCCGGCUGAGUUUGUCGAGAUCCAAGUGGGAUCCAUCCGCGGUGAAGGCGAUGGGGCGGAGGUAGCAGCGCGCGCGGAAGGCGGCGUUAAAAUAAUUCUCGCUUCCAAUUUAUGAGCAUAAUGCAUUCCUGAGAAUUGCCGUUAAAUCAAAUUAGCAGUAGUUUAAAGAGGAAUAUUAUAAUACAUUCAUCACGAACUCGAUUGUAUACUUGGAGCUAGUCGUAAUAACACAAAGUCACAGGGCAGGUCUCUUAGACAAAAGUAUCUCCUUUUUCCCCACCGCCUUGUGACAAUCCUUGGAAAGAGUAACAAAAGGUCGGCAUAACGUGCGAUUCACCGCUUCAUGGGAUUGUACCGGCGACCUGAGUAUUUAAAGUAUGCAAACGUAGUAAAUGGGUACCGUGUGUUACGGGCGGUCUAGUAAGUAGAGAUCGCGUCCCGUCGUGUUUGUUUAGUCGAAGUUGCGUUUUGUUAAUCGUUUCCACGCGGUGCCAUAAGUUGACAGCAGAAUGGAGGGGGGGGAAAAAAAACCCACAAAACAAACCACCGAGCCGGUUGGACACCGUCAGAGAGCCGCGCAUAGUUUCAUUCAACAUGUCUUUUAUUAAUUGUAGCCGUAACCGAGGAGACGGUUAAAGAAGUGGUAAAAUGAAAGCAGGGCUAAAAGAAAAGUGCCGUAGCAGAACAAGGCGACAGGAGGGAGCGCCGAGUCGGUACCGUGCAAGUGCAUAAGAGAAGGGAAUAAGCAAAUACAUUGAGCCGGAGCAGGAUAUUGGGGUGGGGGGACAGUAAUGUGUAAUAGCUGCACCUGUGGAAAGAAAGUGUAAAGCAACCUAACAAAUGUAAAUGGAGUUUGCCCUCUUCUUCUGACUCUUACUGCUGAGAGAGAUUCCUUCCUAGCCAGAGCUCAAUAGCCUAACGAUGUAAUUAGAGAGCAUGCGAAUCAUGUGUUUUUCUCUCCGCAGCUUUAGCGCAAUUACUUGGUGGGAUGUUUUCGCAGGUUAGGUCUGGGUGGGUUGCUCGACGAGCGGGAGGGCGUAGUCCCAAAGUACACGUGUUUCACAUGAUUACGCUAAAAGUGGCUCUCGGUGAAAUAUUCAAAACCGGCGGUGUUUGGCUGGCAGGCUAGCAGGUAGGCUCGCUAGUUCGCUCCGGUUUCCACCGCGGCUCUUUCCUUUAGCGAUACGGUUGUUCAGGCCCAAGUAGGAGACGAGAGUAACUGGAGGUGGGGUCGUAUUUGCCUCGAGCGGAGGCCGAUGCGGGGCUUGUCGUUUCGGCACGAGCGCCGAGUCCAGGAAAGGUCCUCCGCCGGGAUGGGAAUGAGGACGGGUAACCGCACGUCGUCCCUGCAUGGCAAGGCGACACGGAGGAGUGCAAGACUGAAUAAAUCGGUGGUGAAGCAGGAGCUUUUGCGCGGCUCUCAAAUUUUUUUUUUUUUUUUUUUGGGUGUCUGCUGGCUGAACUGAAGCAACUGUUGGCUGCAUUAGAAAAUGGCGCCAAACACGAUAUGAAUGAAUAUGCUGUUACUGUAGAGUAGCCCAGACAGGCUACCGUGGCCUGAAGGAUUUCCAAUUGUGCUCGAAGAUGCAACGGAGGCCUACGUGAGAGAUGGCACUCGGGCUAUUCAUGCUUGAGAAGCAUCCACGUCUAAAAGAAUGGCAAAAACCUUUGCGCUCAGAAGACACGAAGUAGUCAACGUGUCCCCCGGAGUUGUGGAUUUUAAAGAUGGAUGGCCUGUACCAUUUAACCCUCAGAGCACCUGUGUAAUAUGUGAUUUGAUGUAUUGCUGAAAACAUAUGGAAAAUGUCAUAUCUUGCUGCAGAGAAGUUGUAGAUUAAAAAGACAGAUUUCACAUCAUCAUUAUUUAUUACUUUGUCACCCAUUAGGGGAUUCAUGAAAUCAUUCCUUAGGAAUGAAUCACAUGACAUAUGCCCAACAUCUGCAUACCUUUUCUCACUAUAUUACAAUAGUGGAUGUUAACGUGUGCCAGCAAUCCCUAGGAUUGUGUUGAAGGAUAUAUCCAAUUUAAUGAAUGGUACAUUUUAGAACUCUGGACCGGACAAGGGAAGUUUUUGCUUGGGUGAAAAGGAUGAUCUCGUUCAGGAAUACCAUGUGUCAAUUCUUGGUAUCCCAUAAGAUGAACACACACACUUUCAUGAGGUAGGA